rnacentral:rRNA from 1 species
UACGUAGGGUGCAAGCGUUGUCCCGGAAUUAUUGGGCGUAAAGAGCUCGUAGGCGGUCUGUCGCGUCGGAUGUGAAAACUCGGGGCUCAACCCCGGGCCUGCAUUCGAUACGGGCAGACUAGAGUACGGCAGGGGAGACUGGAAUUCCUGGUGUAGCGGUGAAAUGCGCAGAUAUCAGGAGGAACACCGGUGGCGAAGGCGGGUCUCUGGGCCGAAACUGACGCUGAGGAGCGAAAGCGUGGGGAGCAAACAGG